rnacentral:snoRNA from 1 species
AAGACUAUACUUUCAGGGGUUAUUUCUAUAGUUCAUUACAAGAGAAGUUCCUCUGUGUAGAGCACCGGAAACCAUGAGGAGGAGACGUGGCAUUCUCCCCUGAGCGUGAAGCCGGCUCUUAGUGUUGCUUUCUGCAGCUGCUGCCUGCCAUUGAUAGUUCUCUCCCUCUGGGAGAGUGAGGGGGGAGAAAAAUAAAU